UAGAUUAAAGUGGCAAAUCUACAAGAAAAAAAAGUUGCAAAUUUACUAGAUUAAAGUUGCAAAUCUACAAGAAAAAAAGUUGCAGAUAUACUAGAUUAAAGUGGCAAAUCUACAAGAAAAAAGUUGCAAAUUUACUAGAUUAAAGUGGCAAAUCUACAAGAAAAAAGUUGUAGAUUUACUUGAUUAAAGUGGCAAAUCUAUAAGAAAAAAGUUGCAGAUUUAUUAGAUUAAAGUGGCAAAUUUACAAGAAAAAGGUUGCAGAUUUACUAGAUUAAAGUGGCAAAUCUACAAGAAAAAAAAUGGCAGAUUUAGGAGAUUUAAAGCAGCAAAUCUAUGCGAAAAAAGACGCAGAUUUACGAGAAAAAGGUGGGGAAAAAGCAACUUUUUCUCGUAGAUUCACCACUUUAAUCUCGUAAACUUUUUUCUCAAAAUAUUAGCCCCGUCCCCCUGGUCCGUAUGUUGUUUUUUUUUACACAUUCUGGCUGUAUGUAAUAUCCUCCAAUGUUCUCUGGGGUUGAAAUUUGGAAUUUGCAAGUAUUUUAAUGAGUGUCCUAUUAAGGGUUAAUGCAAUAUAGGCAAAAAACAACAACUAUUAUUCUUUGCGUUAUUACAUUUGUGGGAACUUAUUACAAUAUUAAAAGUUGAAGAUUUUCACUUCCCCACGAACCCACAAAUCCCACAAAUAAUUAUUACAUUUGUGGGAAAUCGCGUAUUACGUUUAUAGUGGGCAGCAGCUACUACGUUUGUGGAAAAUGUAUCAUGUUUGUGGGAUUAUUGCAUUAAAAGCUGCAGAUUUUAAUUACGUUUGUGGGCAUUGGACAUUGGUAAUAACACCUCUUAUCUCCUCUCGUUUUUAUGCUUUUGUUAGUCAGCACUGUUCCUUUUAUUCCGUCCUUUUCAAAAAGUGUUACAUAAAACUGCUUUGUGAUUUAAAGAAUGAAUUCCAAUGUUCAACAACAAAAUUUGACAUAAAAGAUGGCAAAAAAAUGAUAUUUAUGCUAAGAAUAACACAUACUAUCAUAAUAAAUACACAUCAGGUAUUCUGUCCACCUCUAACAGUAUUUAAUGUUUAUAUUAUUAAUGUUGACCCUGUGACCACUUGAUCAUUUGGUGUUUAAGAGAGAAAUACACACAUGGAAUAUUGUUUGUGUGCUGAUAUAAGAUGGAGAUGUAGCGGUUAUGUUUGACUUAUGUAAACAGAAAUGUUGGAAUGUUGUAAUAGGAUGAAAACUGUAUUUAUGCAAUAACUAAAGUCUGAGGAGUUUAUGAUAAUUAGCUUAACGGCUAAUGCCGGUUGGUUCGUGUAAGUCGGUAAAAGUUUGUUCACCAGUUGAGGGUC